UACGAAGGGUGCAAACGUUGCUCGGAAUCAUUGGGCGUAAAGCGCACGUAGGCGGCUUGCCAAGUCGGACAUGAAAUCCCUCAGCUCAACUGAGGACGUGCAUCCGAAACUGGCGAGCUUGAGUGCUGAAGAGGACCGCGGAAUUCCCGGUGUAGAGGUGAAAUGCGUAGAGAUGCGGAGGAACACCGAUGGCGAAGGCAGCCCCCUGGGCUGACACUGACGCUCAGGCACGAAAGCGUGGGGAGCAAACAGG
rnacentral:rRNA from 1 species